rnacentral:rRNA from 1 species
UCCCUGGUUGAUCCUGCCAGUAGUCAUAUGCUUGUCUCAAAGAUUAAGCCAUGCAUGUCUCAGUACGAGCCGUAUUAAGGUGAAACCGCGAAAGGCUCAUUAAAUCAGUUAUGGUUCCUUAGUUCGUACCCACAUUUACUUGGAUAACUGUGGUAAUUCUAGAGCUAAUACAUGCAAACAGAGCUCCGACCGGAGACGGAAGGAGCGCUUUUAUUAGAUCAAAACCAAUCGGUGGCGGGUCUCGUGCCCGACAUCGUACACCUUGGUGACUCUGAAUAACUUUUUGCUGAUCGCACGGUCUCGCACCGGCGACGCAUCUUUCAAAUGUCUGCCUUAUCAACUGUCGAUGGUAGGUUCUGCGCCUACCAUGGUUGUAACGGGUAACGGGGAAUCAGGGUUCGAUUCCGGAGAGGGAGCCUGAGAAACGGCUACCACAUCCAAGGAAGGCAGCAGGCGCGCAAAUUACCCACUCCCGGCACGGGGAGGUAGUGACGAAAAAUAACGAUACGGGACUCAUCCGAGGCCCCGUAAUCGGAAUGAGUACACUCUAAACCCUUUAACGAGGAUCAAUUGGAGGGCAAGUCUGGUGCCAGCAGCCGCGGUAAUUCCAGCUCCAAUAGCGUAUAUUAAAGUUGUUGCGGUUAAAAAGCUCGUAGUCGAAUUUGUGUCCCGCGCCGCCGGUUCAUCGCUCGCGGUGUUUAACUGGCGUGUCCGCGGGACGUCCUGCCGGUGGACUUAGCCCUCUCGGGGGCGGUCCAACUUCAAAUCCCACCGCGGUGCUCUUUACCGAGUGUCGAGGUGGGCCGGCACGUUUACUUUGAACAAAUUAGAGUGCUUAAAGCAGGCUAAAACUUCGCCUGAAUACUGUGUGCAUGGAAUAAUGGAAUAGGACCUCGGUUCUAUUUUGUUGGUUUUCGGAACUCCGAGGUAAUGAUUAAUAGGAACGGAUGGGGGCAUUCGUAUUGCGACGUUAGAGGUGAAAUUCUUGGAUCGUCGCAAGACGGACAGAAGCGAAAGCAUUUGCCAAAAACGCUUUCAUUGAUCAAGAACGAAAGUUAGAGGUUCGAAGGCGAUCAGAUACCGCCCUAGUUCUAACCACGCACGCACGCACUCGCGUCCUCCGAUAUCCGUCUUCCGCUUUUCGGUAGAUAUAUC